AUUGAACGCUGGCGGCAGGCCUAACACAUGCAAGUCGAGCGGAUGAAGGGAGCUUGCUCCUGGAUUCAGCGGCGGACGGGUGAGUAAUGCCUAGGAAUCUGCCUGGUAGUGGGGGAUAACGUCCGGAAACGGGCGCUAAUACCGCAUACGUCCUGAGGGAGAAAGUGGGGGAUCUUCGGACCUCACGCUAUCAGAUGAGCCUAGGUCGGAUUAGCUAGUUGGUGGGGUAAAGGCCUACCAAGGCGACGAUCCGUAACUGGUCUGAGAGGAUGAUCAGUCACACUGGAACUGAGACACGGUCCAGAGUCCUACGGGAGGCAGCAGUCGGGAAUAUUGGACAACGGGCGAAAACCUGAUCCAGCCAGGCCGCGUGUGAUAAGGAGGUCCUCGGAUUGUAAAGCAGUUUAAGUUGGGAGGAAGGGCAGUAAGUUAAUACCUUGCUGUUUUGACGUUACCAACAGAAUAAGCACCGGCUAACUUCGUG
rnacentral:rRNA from 1 species